AAAUUUCUUUUUACCAUUGUAUAAUAUAAUAAUAUAAAUUCACGAGGUUGAUUUUUUAUGCAUUAUUGUCCUAAAGGUUAUUCCUUCCAAUUUCUUGCUCAUAAGUUGAAUCUAUAAUUUCAUUAGGAUGAAUUAUUAUACGUUAUUAUCCUGAAGAGCUUGCUUUCCAAUUUCUUGCUCAUUAGUUGAAUUUAUAAGCGUAAAUCAUUAUUGAACAAAAGUAAGUGUGUAAUUUAUCUUAACCGACUGUAAAAAGGAAUGUUAGCAUGAUACAAUAUUUAUUUCAAUACUUCGUUCAUAAUAAAAUCAUGCAUAAUAAAGUAAUUGUAUCAUUUAUGUCACUGUAAUGAAAAAUAUUACAUAUAAUUUUAAAUUAUAAGCAUAUUUUAGACUAUCCUAUCAAGAUUUAGUUUUAAAUUCUUUUACUGAAGUUUUCUUUGUUUACGAUUUAUAGAUAUAUAUCAAAUCAAUUAAAAUAAAUAAUUUCCUGUCCCAAAUAGUAAAAUGGAAAAUUGUUAUGUUUGGCUCUGAACAUAAAGCUUGUGAAAACUCAAAAUUUGCCAAUAUAAUAUUACAUAGAAUUCAUUAAUAUUUUAAAAGAGAUAAUUUGCAUAAAAAAAAAUCUUUUCCCUUUCUUAUUUGAGACAAAACAAUAUUAGUAUUAAGAAUUAUAACAUUUAUAUAAUAGCUCUCGCGCUGUCCCUAUUCCUUAUGUCAUCUCCAGGACACUUGAAUAUAUGUACUCCACCAAUUGUCUUACCCCUACUAAGCAAUUCCCUAUAACUAUCAAAUGGUUCCCCCAAAACCAAGAUGGUAUCAAACUCAACUUUGAUGGUGCUUUCCCGGCCAACACUACUCAGGGUGGUAUUGGUGGUGUUUUCCGGGAUAAGAACGCUAACUGGGUCGCGGGAUACUACCAAUGCACUAGUAGGCUCAACUCUACCCAUAUGGAGAUUCAAGGCCUCCUUGAGGGUCUCCGUCUGGUCCUUCAUGAGGAAUCUGGGGAAUCCUCCAAUCCGCCAUAACUUUAGAUAAGGGAAUAGGGUGGCUCAUGUUCUAGCAACUGAACGUUCAAAGAGAGCCACCUCUGAGCAAAUGCAUUUUUUGUUGGAAGCCCCUCCUUGGAUAAACAACAUCUUGCAGGAGGACAAAAAUGGUCGUUUUAGUAUUAGGU